CACAGUUUCUCAAUACCAUCCGUCCAUCACCCAUCUCUCUCUAUUUUCAUUAAAUGAAAAACCUAUCUCUUUCGAUAAUUCUAAUCUCUGUAGAAGCAAAUCUAUCUCCCACUUUAAUCUAGAAUCUCUGUAGAAGCAAAUCUAUCUCCCACUUUAAUCUAGGAUUGCAUCUCUUGCUGCAAUCUCGAUCAUUCACUAUCCAUCUCGUGUAAAGUUUCCAUUUUGUUUUUGUAAAAUCUCUCUCUCUCUCUCUAUCUCCAUAAGAAACCAGACGGAUCUCUCUAUUUAUUAUCUUAGGAAACAUUAUGGUCCCGAGUUGAUGUGAUUUGGUACACGGUAUAAGUUGUUUUAGAUAAUUUCGGUGAAAUCCCUAGUUUAUGAUUUGGGUUUAUCUUACUUUUUCCUAUUUAGGUUAAUUUUCCAGAUAUUUUUCUCUUUUGUUUGAAGCUCUAGUUUUGGAUGGAAAGAUCAUUGUUGAGUCUCUUUGUUUGAUAUUGUAGGAUUUCACCGGCCUGAGACCUUUGUAUUUCAUACCUCAAGGUAGUUUGUAAGUUUUCCUUUGCUGAUUCAAAAUUUAAAGUGUUGGCAUGAUUUGAUUAGGGAGUGUGUUGGUAAACAAAUUAGUGGUUUUCAUAUUUUUAGAGUAGGGUUUUAGUUAUAGUUUUGAUCAGAAUUUUUAGUCAAUCCGACUCUGGUUAUGGCAGUUCGUUUCAAGGAACUUGAUGAGGAAGAAGAGAGUUAUUAUCGGUCUGCGUAACCACAGAAGAGGAAAAGACUUUGGUUCAGUUUCCAUGUCCUUGAUUUUGGCAAGUGGUUUCCUCUUUAUCAAAAUUCGGUAGCAAAAGUGGACACGAAAAGUAUGAGUGUUAAGGCAAAGAUUUUAGGUACAGUUGUUACCGUGAAAGUCUCGCUACUGACCCUUUAUAGAGGAAUGCCAUUAACAAACUUUUCUGAUCCAGGAGCAAUGACGACAAUUCAUCACACUAAAACAUGUCAUAUAAAUUGGAUGUAACAGAACUAAAUGUUGGACAAAUAGGUUAAUGACUUCCAUUGCCAGUAGAUUAUUAUACUCUACGUGGUUUCUUGUUCAAGCCAAGGUAAGUAAGAUAUACCCAUGUUAGUACUCUAGUGCUACUAUUAUGUACUAUUGGGUGCCAUUCAAUCAACUCUACUAAGCUUAAUUACAGAGUCAGGCUUGAGCUUUAUGGAUUUGUCAUAUUUUGUGUGUGAAAAAAGUGGUCAUAUUAUUACUGCAGCAUUUUGUGUUAUUAUACAAAACAUAGCAGCCUUGAUUGAUUUCUUAAUUUUGCACGAACAACUUCAGUCUGGAGGUUAGGAUAGUUUUUAUUCUUUUAAAGUUAGUAUGGAUUACUAUACAAAAUGUGUAAUUCUUUUAAAGUUUGGGAAAAUAUAGAAUCCAUGAUCUUCCCUUGUUGACUUGGAUAUCUUUUAUUUGUUUUUUGAAUUUCCAGGUGUUUGAGUUUCUUGAGUACAUUUCCUCAGUCAGCUAAAGGCCGACUUACUUAAAAAAAAUUAAUGAUUGCUUUUUCUAAGUGGCCGCUUGCUUAUUAUUUUAAAAUCUAAUCACUUGAAGCGUUCCACUGCAGUUAAAUUUUCCGCCUGUCAUCUUUACUGAACAUAUAUUUGUCUAUUUCUUGACCUAAAAAGAUACUGAGAUUUGGCAUUAUGUACAUUUAUUUGUUGCGUUAGACUUAAGUUCUGUUGAUAUCCAAUGUUAUUUUCUACCUCAAGUUCAUAUCAGGCUAUUGCUCACUUGAGCUUCCAGUUCAUUUGCUCAUUCUUUCGUUGAACAGAGGUUUGUCGUUACUAUUACUUAGGGACUGAAAAUAUUGCUGAAUACCUGGGAUGCUCAAAUGUUCUUUCCUUCCAUUCUAAGAAAGCAGAAAAUUACCUAGGACAGGAUACAAGAUGCUCGGUUUUUUUCCUUGUUUACUUAUUGUGGCAUCACUGGCAUGUUCAGUUGUAUGCAGUAGAUUAGCUUUUUACUUAUCCUAUUAUACGGGUGCUUUGCUUCAGGAGUUCACAGUAAUGGAUGCAACUACAUACAUUUCUUCGGAGAGGUCGUCAUCCCUUGCAUUCCUUAUCUAGUUUCAAGUAAGCCUUAAACGAAUAUAUAUAUAUAUAUAUAUAUAUAUAUAUCUGGUGGUGGUCCUCACUUUCUUGUAUAAUGUCUGAAGUCUUAUACUUCUGUUUUCUUUUGCCUCGUUCAAGUAGUCAUGUGGUUUCUAAUUGAGGUAUCCAUAUUCCACAUGUACAUCAGGUUCGAUACCUUGACCUUCAUAUAUUUUCUGAAUUACCAUUAUAACAAUGUUUUGUAGUAAGAACAAUAUUUGUUUGUCUCUUCAUUUUGAUUUGUUCCGUGUUUUUACAGGACUAAAUCAAAUAAAACUUACAGUCCAAUAAUAUUUUCCUUUCCUUGUGUGAUAUUCUAUUUUUCUUUGUUGGAUUAAUCCAUGGGAUGGAUCAUUCAUCAUCAACUCGAUCUUUGUUGCUAUGAUGCAGGAUGUUCGAUUUCCUUUCUUUGUCCCGACGUGUUUUGGAUUGUGUCUACAGUUUUGGCAAUAUUUUAUUACCUUGCAGGUAUUGAGAGUGCUUUGCUCCAUAUGUUUCCAGUUAUGGCUGCGACAAUUCAAAUUCUUCUGUAGAUGGAGAGAACAACACCUCCAAUCAGGAGGCAGUGGAAGCUACUAAAUUUAAACCAUUAAAUUUCAUGAAUUUUCUUCUCAUGUAUUUUAUUUAUUAUCUUUUGUUUUGCAUCAUUAUGUUGAACCUUGAAUUUCAGAAAUAACCAAAGUAUUUGAGAAAUACAAUUGUGUUUUUUA